rnacentral:rRNA from 1 species
CCUACGGGUGGCAGCAGUGAGGAAUAUUGGUCAAUGGUCGGGAGACUGAACCAGCCAAGCCGCGUGAGGGAUGAAGGUACAGAGUAUCGUAAACCUCUUUUGUCAGGGAACAAAGGCGGGGACGUGUCCCCGGAUGAGUGUACCUGAAGAAAAAGCAUCGGCUAACUCCGUGCCAGCAGCCGCGGUAAUACGGAGGAUGCGAGCGUUAUCCGGAUUUAUUGGGUUUAAAGGGUGCGCAGGCGGUCUGUUAAGUCAGCUGUAAAAUCGCGCGGCUCAACCGCGCCCCGCAGUUGAAACUGGACGCCUUGAGUUCACAACAGGCAGGCGGAAUUCGUGGUGUAGCGGUGAAAUGCAUAGAUAUCACGAGGAACCCCGAUUGCGAAGGCAGCCUGCCGGGGUGCGACUGACGCUGAGGCUCGAAGGUGCGGGUAUCAAACAGGAUUAGAUACCCGUGUAGUC